UGGGGAAUAUUGGACAAUGGGGGCAACCCUGAUCCAGCCAUGCCGCGUGAAUGAUGAAGGCCUUAGGGUUGUAAAGUUCUUUUACCGAUGAAGAUAAUGACGGUAGUCGGAGAAAAAGCCCCGGCUAACUUCGUGCCAGCAGCCGCGGUAAUACGAAGGGGGCUAGCGUUGUUCGGAUUUACUGGGCGUAAAGCGCACGUAGGUGGUGUCGCAAGUCAGUGGUGAAAUCCCAGGGCUCAACCCUGGAACUGCCAUUGAAACUGCGAUGCUGGAAUCUCAAAGGGGGUGCGGAAUUGCUAAUGUAGGGGUGAAAUCCGUAGAUAUUAGCAGGAACACCGAUGGCGAAGGCAGCCACCUGGACGUGUAUUGACGCUGAGGUGCGAAAGCGUGGGGAGCAAACAGGAUUAGAUACCCUUGUAGUCCCUGAGCGGGCUGGCAAGGCGCAU
rnacentral:rRNA from 1 species